rnacentral:rRNA from 1 species
UCCGUAGGUGAACCUGCGGAAGGAUCAUUACCGAGUUGAUUCGGGCUCCGGCCCGAUCCUCCCACCCUUUGUGUACCUACCUCUGUUGCUUUGGCGGGCCGCGGUUCUCCGCGGCCGCCCCCCUCCCCGGGGGGUGGCCAGCGCCCGCCAGAGGACCAUCAAACUCCAGUCAGUAAACGAUGCAGUCUGAAAAACAUUUAAUAAACUAAAACUUUCAACAACGGAUCUCUUGGUUCUGGCAUCGAUGAAGAACGCAGCGAAAUGCGAUAAGUAAUGUGAAUUGCAGAAUUCAGUGAAUCAUCGAAUCUUUGAACGCACAUUGCGCCCUUUGGUAUUCCGAAGGGCAUGCCUGUUCGAGCGUCAUUACAACCCUCAAGCUCUGCUUGGUAUUGGGCACCGUCCUUUGCGGGCGCGCCUCAAAGACCUCGGCGGUGGCGUCUUGCCUCAAGCGUAGUAGAACAUACAUCUCGCUUCGGAGCGCAGGGCGUCGCCCGCCGGACGAACCUUCUGAACUUUUCUCAAGGUUGACCUCGGAUCAGGUAGGGAUACCCGCUGAACUUAAGCAUAUCAAUAAGCGGAGGA